CCGAGGCAGGACCCCCGAGGCAGAACCCCCCGAGGCAGAACCCCCGAGGCAGAACCCCCGAGGCAGAACCUCCGAGGCAGAACCCCCUGAGGCAGAACCCCCGAGGCAGGACCCCCUGAUGCAGAACCCCCGAGGCAGGACCCCCGAGGCAGGACCCCCGAGGCAGGACCCCCGAGGCAGGACCCCCUGAGGCAGAACCCCCGAGGCAGGACCCCCGAGGCAGGACCCCCUGAUGCAGGACCCCCGAGGCAGAACCCCCGAGGCAGGACCCCCGAGGCAGGACCCCCUGAUGCAGGACCCCCGAGGCAGAACCCCCGAGGCAGGACCCCCGAGGCAGGACCCCCUGAGGCAGGACCCCCGAGGCAGAACCCCCGAGGCAGGACCCCCGAGGCAGGACCCCCGAGGCAGGACCCCCUGAUGCAGGACCCUCGAGGCAGGACCCCCGAGGCAGAACCCCCAAGGCAGGACCCCCUGAGGCAGGACCCCCGAGGCAGGACCCCCUGAGGCAGGACCCCCGAGGCAGGACCCCUGAAUUAUUUAAGUCCGGCACCAAUGACAGCAUCAGUGACGCAGUCACAUCGCCCGGUCCCCAAGUCCAUUUCAGUGUCCCGCGGCCUGACAUGGAGGGAAAGCCCACCUGCCCAAGGGCCGGGGCCAACACGGUGCCCGUCAGCGGGCGGAGGGACGGCUCAGGGGACCCCGCCCCAAGGUCCUGCUUCACGUGAGGAGCCCCACUGAGGAGCCCCUGCUCACCCCCACGGGGGGGCCCAGAGCGCUGGCGGGGAUCGUGGGGGCACCUGUCUGCUUUUCCCCAGGGGCCUUGGCUGGUUUAGUAACUGGCAUGAGACAGACUGACCGGAGGACUGACCGGAGGACGCUGUGCAGAUAAGGAACUUGGAGAGAUGCCAGAGCACUUUGCGUUUCUAUCCUUUUCAGACGAAGCAUUGAAAAGAAAGCACCGGGCAUGUUACCUGGAGAGAGACUCAGGUCUGGGGCGCCGCCAACAGACCGGCUGGGAGCUGUUCCAACAGACACAAUUUUGAAUUUAAGUAGGGACAGCGAGUCAUUGACAUUGAAAAUACAGUCAUUCUGGGGUGGGGGAACCUUCUGGUUCUGAUGUUUUGUCCAAAGGCCGUGCGCGCCUGCCUCAGCAGGGUCUGCGCCGGGGCUUGGUCUCUGCCGGGCGCGGGAACAGCUGUGGAGCUGCGAAGGGGGCACUCACUGUUGGAGCUGACUCCUGGGUCUUUAGUGGGUGUUGAAAUGACUGACUUCACCUGCAGGCAGCAGAUUUUGCAUAGUCGCUUCAUCUACUUCACAUCUCUGCAGAUGGCUUCGCUCGCGCGCCCGCUGCACUAGGCAGGAGGCCUCCCCGGCUCCGGCGGUGUGUGCGCAGGCCCAGAGCCUGGGAGGGUAACUUUUCAAAUGGGGGAUUAUUUUCCUGUUCGCAAGGAAAUGAUGGCGAAACCAGAAUCCACACAGAUGGACGCCCAUCGUGUCUCACGCAUCUCUGCACCCACUCUCUACUGUCACUCAUUCCAGAUGGGGGUCAGUCUUCACCCAGGCCAGGCCCUCCUUGUGUGCCCCACAGCCUGUCCCGGUUUGUCCUCCCGAAGAGAGCAUUGCUCUGCUCAGCAGUUCUCAAAGUGUGGUCCGGGAACCCCAAUGGUCCGGGGCCCUUUCAGAGAGUGGUCAGAACUAUUUUCAUCAUAACAUUGUCAAUUCUCACCUUUUUGCUCUGAUUUUCUCAUGCGUGUACAGAAGGCGUUUCCAGAAGCUGGAUGGUGUGUGAUCCUGCAACAGAUUGAAUGCAGAGGAAGUGGGCAGAAUCCAGCUGUCUUCUGCGAAGCCAGAUGUAGGGCAAAUGGUUCUCAGACUUUCCUGCCCUCCCACCAUCAGGAUUGCCCUGCCUGAUGGGGCACCUGCACUUGGUACAAUGUUGUAAGCUCUGUUGUUUACUUCUGUGGGCCACGGCAGCGGUAUUGAGAAAUUCUCCAAGAGAAGCAGAGGCAGGUGAGAGAGAAGGGGAGAAAGAAGCCCAGAGUGAAGACUUGCAGGGGGCUUGGAGGCCUACCGGCCGCCUGUCCCCCCGCCUGCCCACCCCCUUCACCCCUUCCUCCUGUGCACCUGCACUACAUGUAAAAGCCUGAGAGCCACCGAGGGCUCCAGGACUCUCAUUUACCCUGGUUGAAUCGUAAAGAACAUUA